CGGAGGGUGCAAGCGUUAUCCGGAUUCACUGGGUUUAAAGGGAGCGCAGGCGGACUGGUAAGUCAGUGGUGAAAUACCUGAGCUUAACUCGGGAACUGCCAUUGAUACUAUCAGUCUUGAAUGUUGUUGAGGUUUGCGGAAUGGGUCAUGUAGCGGUGAAAUGCAUAGAUAUGACCCGGAACACCUAUUGCGAAGGCAGCAGGCUAAACAAAUAUUGACGCUGAGGCUCGAAAGCGUGGGGAUCAAACAGGAUUAGAUACCCUGGCAGUCCACGCCCUAAACGAUGAUUACUCGACAUACGCGAUACACUGUGUGUGUCUGAGCGAAAGCAUUAAGUAAUCCACCUGGGAAGUACGACCGCAAGGUUG
rnacentral:rRNA from 1 species